CUUCCUACGGGAGGCAGCAGUGAGGAAUAUUGGUCAAUGGCCGCAGGGCUGAACCAGCCAAGUCGCGUGAGGGAUGACGGUCCUAUGGAUUGUAAACCUCUUUUGUCAGGGAGCCACGGGCGCCACGUGUGGCGUUUUGCGAGUACCUGAAGAAAAAGCAUCGGCUAACUCCGUGCCAGCAGCCGCGGUAAUACGGAGGAUGCGAGCGUUAUCCGGAUUUAUUGGGUUUAAAGGGUUCGCCGGCGCCGGUGCAAGUCAGCGGUCACAUUGCGGGGCUCAACCCCGUACUGCCGUUGCAACU
rnacentral:rRNA from 1 species